CUAUUUUGGGGCUGCCAAUUUUCCAUGAGGUGUUGGGAUUUCAUAUGCCCUCAAAGAUCUCACAGUUUGUCUGUUCUUGAGGCCUUCCAGGACUUAAAGGAUAAACUAAGGGUACCAUUCUUCAUGGAAGUUAUCAUCCUGGGAUCAUGGGCUUUAUGGAUCACCAGAAACAACAAAAUCUUUGAGAACAUACAACCUUCCUUUCACGGCUGGAAACACAUUUAUUUGGAAGAAAUGAAACUUCUCUCCCACAGGAUCAAGAAGAAAUAUGAGGUUGAAUUCAAAAAUUGGUUGGCCAGUGUGCUAUCAUCAUGA
rnacentral:rRNA from 1 species